GAUGAACGCUGGCGGCGUGCCUAAUACAUGCAAGUCGAGCGAACAGACGAGGAGCUUGCUCCUCUGACGUUAGCGGCGGACGGGUGAGUAACACGUGGAUAACCUACCUAUAAGACUGGGAUAACUUCGGGAAACCGGAGCUAAUACCGGAUAAUAUAUUGAACCGCAUGGUUCAAUAGUGAAAGACGGUUUUGCUGUCACUUAUAGAUGGAUCCGCGCCGCAUUAGCUAGUUGGUAAGGUAACAGCUUACCAAGGCAACGAUGCGUAGCCGACCUGAGAGGGUGAUCGGCCACACUGGAACUGAGAUACGGUCCAGACUCCUACGGGAGGCAGCAGUAGGGAAUCUUCCGCAAUGGGCGAAAGCCUGACGGAGCAACGCCGCGUGAGUGAUGAAGGUCUUCGGAUCGUAAAACUCUGUUAUUAGGGAAGAACAAAUGUGUAAGUAACUAUGCACGUCUUGACGGUACCUAAUCAGAAAGCCACGGCUAACUACGUG
rnacentral:rRNA from 1 species